GGCUAAAAAGAUACAGCGAUACAAAAUACUACGAAUCAAAUAUGUAGUAAUUGAGACAUAUUUAAUGAUAAAAAAUAUUGGACAUGAAAAAGUGAAUUGCACAAGGUCAGCAGCAAAGCGAUUGUUGCUCUUCCUGAACUUUUCUACGCCCUUAUCAAUGUUAAUUUAAUUUGACAUUGUAGCCAAAGCAAUGCAUAGAUCAGAACACUGCGAUAAAUGGCAAAGGGUUCAGCGAGAGGACGCAACGUAAAAAUAUAAAACUUAUUUUGCAUAACGACUCAGUGCGAAAGCAAAUAAAUGAGCGCUGUGAACCUUAAGUGAUUGACUGCUGGUCAAGUUAAAGGCUUGUGCGGUGUCAGAGGGGACGCUUAACGGCACUUUGACAGAGGAAGCUGUAGAUUUUCUAUUUGAUUUUAUUUUUAUAUUUUUUCUACUGCCGUUGCUUGUCAAAGUUAACUUUUUCGUAUUUUCUUUACUUUAUAUUUCUAUUAUACAAGCAUUUUUCAUUUUGCUUUGAGAUUUCUUUUUUUACAAAGCGUGUUAAUGGUGACUACAAAAAAAAAAUGUAUGUAGCAAUUGCUCUUUGAUAACAAGCUUUGACUUUAGUGAUGGUGUGAGUCAAAGAGCGCGCCAGAAGUGUUUUAACUUGGAAACUUUCGCCAUGAAAGUGUUUAACUUAAAGUUCUUGUGACGAAAAAAUUGCAGAUAAAAGUAAAAAAUAAAAAAAGACCGAGUAUUAGAGUUUAAGUAGUAUGAGAAGUGAUUAAAUAACUUGUGUUAUUAAUUCAAACUGUCAGUUUAAUUCUUUUUAUUAAAAAGAUUAUAUCUCAAAAAUAUUAUUAAUACUCCUAGUCACCCUGUGGCUGCCAUAUGGCGUUGCAAGGUGAAUAUCUUUACACACGAUCGAUCGGUGAACUGAAUAUUCAACACAGCAAAAUUCAUGGUGAUAACAGAGAUUAGACAUCUACAAGUUGACGGAAUUGGCUACUAUCAGCCACUUUUUUUAACGUUUGAGAAAGUAAUUGCCUUAUACUGUGUGAUGGUUUAUGAAAAGUCAUCGAAAGUAUCAAAUGUCAUUACAUUGAAGUCUCAAAGACUCGAGUUGACAGCUAGUCCAUCAGUUCCGUAGCUUAUCACAGAUUGGCAGCUGAACAUAAUUUUCGUUGAUUCUACUUAAGGGUGAUGUACUAGUAAUCAAUAUUACUUGUAAUCUGGACUAAAUUUUUCACACGAAUAAAAGUGAUGAGUCACAAAAUUGUAUUCUCACCUCUACAAUUAAUGCAAUACUUGUAAGAUACCAUAUAGUCUUUAAAAGAAAAUGUGAAUAAAGACGAUGCCUAUACACAUACUAUAAAGAUGCAUAUA